GCUCGUUUUCGGAUGAGUGGAGAGUGGCGCACGGGUGAGUAACACGUAGCUAACCUGCCCCGAAGAGGCGGAUAACUGUCGGAAACGACUGCUAAUACGCCAUAAGCUCACUAAGUGAGAAAAGCUUUGGCGCUUUGGGAUGGGGCUGCGGCCCAUCAGCUAGUUGGUAAGGUAACGGCUUACCAAGGCGACGACGGGUAGGGGACCUGAGAGGGUGACCCCCCACACUGGGACUGAGACACGGCCCAGACUCCUACGGGAGGCAGCAGUGAGGAAUAUUGCACAAUGGGCGCAAGCCUGAUGCAGCAACGCCGCGUGGGUGAAGAAGGUUUUCGGAUCGUAAAACCCUUUUCUGUGUGACGAGGAAGGACGGUAGCACAGGAAAAAGUCUCGGCUAACUACGUGCCAGCAGCCGCGGUAAAACGUAGGAGGCGAGCGUUAUCCGGAGUUACUGGGCGUAAAGCGCGUGCAGGCGGAUUGGAUAGUCAUCUAUGAAAGCUCCCGGCUAAACUGGGAGAGGCUGGAUGAUACUACCAGUCUAGAGUCUGGAAGAGGGAUGUGGAAUUCCGGGUGUAGUGGUGAAAUGCGUAGAUAUCCGGAGGAACACCAGUGGCGAAGGCGACAUCCUGGUCCAAGACUGACGCUGAGACGCGAAAGCGUGGGUAGCGAACGGGAUUAGAAACCCCGGUAGUCCACGCCGUAAACGAUGCACACUAAACGCUCGUUGUCCGAGAGGGCAGUGGGUGUUGCAGCAAACGCGAUAAGUGUGCCGCCUGGGGAGUACGGUCGCAAGGCUAAAACUCAAAGGGAAUUGACGGGGGCCCGCACAAGCAGCGGANCGUGUGGNUUAAUUCGAGG
rnacentral:rRNA from 1 species